rnacentral:rRNA from 1 species
AGCGAACGCUGGCGGCAGGCCUAACACAUGCAAGUCGAACGAACUCUUCGGAGUUAGUGGCGGACGGGUGAGUAACACGUGGGAACGUGCCUUUAGGUUCGGAAUAACUCAGGGAAACUUGUGCUAAUACCGAAUGUGCCCUUCGGGGGAAAGAUUUAUCGCCUUUAGAGCGGCCCGCGUCUGAUUAGCUAGUUGGUGAGGUAACGGCUCACCAAGGCGACGAUCAGUAGCUGGUCUGAGAGGAUGACCAGCCACACUGGGACUGAGACACGGCCCAGACUCCUACGGGAGGCAGCAGUGGGGAAUCUUGCGCAAUGGGCGAAAGCCUGACGCAGCCAUGCCGCGUGAAUGAUGAAGGUCUUAGGAUUGUAAAAUUCUUUCUCCGGGGACGAUAAUGACGGUACCCGGAGAAGAAGCCCCGGCUAACUUCGUGCCAGCCGCCGCUGUAAUAC